UCACUCAAUAGUCCCCUUCUCCCUCUCCGUUAACAACAAACAGCUCAUCCAAUCUAUACCUAUAAAACUCGCUCAACUCCUCAAUCUAUCCCCCUAAUCUCUCCCACCACCUCUCCUUUGGAUUCCCCUCCAAAACCCGCCGGAAACCACCGUUCUCCGGCGGACAACCCCACUUUCAAUCACCAACUGACCCGCCACAGCCAUGUCCACUUCUUCCAUACCCUUCAUUUCUCUCACACCCAACAGCUCAAAACUUCUGCUAAAGCCAAGUACAUGCACACCGAGACUGAGACUAUCAAGCUCUUCAUUUUCGCUCGGUUCGUUCUCGAAGAGGGGGUUCAGAAAUGGGGGUCUGACGAUAAAAGGUUGCUCGACGUCGCCGUUUAUAGGAAGAGUUGGGUCGCAGCGGAGGGAAGGAAACUCUUCGUUGCUUUCGUUUGGGAUAAACCCACCAACGGCUAUGUCCAAAGGAGCCGAACAGAGUGGUGAGGACUCGUCUCAGGUCUUAUCCGCAAUGCUUCCAUUUGUGGUUGCUGCCACUGCUAUUGCUGCUUUGGCUCAGCCUGCCACGUUUACUUGGGUAUCCAAGGAUUUAUACGCCCCUGCUCUUGGUGGGAUCAUGCUCUCCAUUGGAAUCAAACUUUCGGUCGAUGAUUUUGCUCUUGCUGUCAAAAGACCUUUACCACUCUCUAUUGGGUUUAUCGCACAGUAUGUGCUGAAACCGGCUCUAGGGGUGUUAAUUGCAAUGGCAUUUGGCGUGCCUAGAAUAUUCUACGCUGGGUUUGUCCUCACCACUUGUGUUGCAGGGGCACAGCUAUCUAGUUAUGCUAGUUUCUUGAGCAAAGGAGAUGUGGCCUUGAGUAUCCUCCUCACUAGCUCCACCACAAUUGCCUCGGUGAUCGUUACCCCUAUACUGACAGGCCUUUUAAUUGGUUCUGUUGUUCCGGUCAAUGCUGUUGCCAUGGCAAAGUCAAUAUUGCAGGUUGUUCUUGUUCCGGUCACUAUUGGCCUUGCGCUGAAUACUUAUGCCAAACCAGUUGUCACCAUCCUUCAACCAGUGAUGCCAUUUGUUGCUAUGAUCUGUACUUCAUUGUGCAUUGGCAGUCCUCUUGCAAUUAAUCAAAGACAAAUUCUGUCUAUGGAUGGUCUCCGAUUGAUAUUUCCUGUUUUAGCAUUUCAUGCAGUGGCCUUUGCUGUUGGAUACUGGGUAUCCAAAAUUCCAAGUGUAAGGCAAGAAGAAGAAGUUAGCAGAACACUUUCAUUAUGCACAGGAAUGCAAAGCUCCACCCUGGCAGGUCUCCUUGCAAGCCAGUUCCUUGGGAGCAGUCAAGCCGUUCCUCCAGCAUGUUCGGUUGUUGCCAUGGCCAUCAUGGGCCUUUUUCUUGCCUCUUUCUGGGGCACGGGUGCUCGAAUUCGAGACCUUUCUUCCCUACUAAUGCCUCAAACCAGUUCUACCAUGAACGCUUCAUAGUGAAGCAACAACCAGAGAAAGCUAAUUUAGUGCAGACUGAUGGCCAGGGUAACUAGCGCAGAGCAUUUUGAGGCAAGUACAAUAGAAAGGGAUCCGGGGUGUUUGUGUGGAACACACCUCAACUGGGUUGGAAAGAAUAGUGCAUACAGAGGAUAAGGAGCCAAAUAGACAAUGGGAAACAUAGUUUAGGCGUAGACUACUUGUAAAGUUGUAAAGCUUUCUACACUACAGCUACAUCUUGAUGUUGCUACUUUGUAUAGGCCCUCAUUAAGGUAUAUAUAAAGGUCAAUGGAUCACUGAAUUGUAGGGAAACUUUUUCUGGAAAAGCGUAUUUCAGAGAUGUCAGACAAAGUAGUGGAAUUGAAAGAACUUACUGCAACAAGUUUGUGUUAGAAUUUGAGCUUCAACAACACAACAUAGAUGCUU